rnacentral:tRNA from 1 species
AGCUUAGUUGGCAAAGCGCUCGUCUACCGUACAAGAGUCCUGGGUUCAAAUCCCAG